GUGCUAGAAAGUUUGUUUUUAGAAAACCAAUUGAGCUUUAACAAUUGGAAGUUUCUGGCUUUGGCAGCUGUAGCUGCAGGGAGGGAGGUCAGGCACAGGGCCUGUCCAGAUCCAGCACAAGAAGGGACAGCGUGAACAGCAGCCUCGGGGAGGGAGACCAUGGCUCUUCCACCCACUCCCAGGGCUAAUCCCCAAACCCUUCACCUUCCAAGGGCAUGUCCACUGGCUCCUGGGGCAGAUGGCAGAGCUUGUGCCUGGGAGAGGGUUCUCAAAAUGACUUGUGGUUGCAAAGGUCGCUCAGUAGCUUUUCCUCCAGCAGCAGUUUCGGAGCUCAGCUGCUCCAGGGGUGAGUCUUCGUGGUUCCACAGGUUCCUUUCUGUGCCUCUUGGAGCACCUCAGCAGACAGCUCUUGUGUUCUUCAUCAGUAUCCUCAUUUAAGAAAAACACUGGUACACAUGUUACAAAACAACCUUUCUAAAAAUUGUUCCUAGGUAUGAGCGGGAAAAUCCCACGAAGCAUCAAGGCUGAGGCACUCAGCAGGGUGAGGAGAUCUCACAAACUCCAGAGAGGCUUCCAGCAGAAGUUAUGAGAUGUGCUGGAGUUUGCAGGCUCCUGCACCCUUCUGCUGACCUUGAACUGGCUGCUGCUGAGGACCAUGAGCAAAGCUUGUGUUACCUUCAAGUGCAAGACACUGACUACAGAGGGAAAAGGGCUGCAGGCAGGUCUGUGGUCUGUUCACCUGGAUGACAGAGUCUGAAGCAUUCAGUGGCGAGUGGUCUGUGGGAACAUGUGGAGCUGGCAGAUUGCAGAGUGCACUCUGGAAUGAGACUCCUUACCUGGAGCCACAAGAAUGGCUGAAACAUGUGGAAGGAUUCCUAAAGGAUUCCAGUUAUUCAGCAGAACGGAGUGAGUCUGCCCCUGGGUGCAGGGAAUAGCCAGAGGCAGCAGAAAAUGCCUCCUCGGGGUUGUUCUGUCCCGACAGCAAAGGUGGUGCAGUGGCAGAGAAAAGAAACGGGGAUUUUUUUCAGUGAACUGCAGGAAAUCUUCCCAGCAGCUGCUAUUCACCUGUCAGCAAGGAAGGAAUUAAAGAACAAAGAGCUGAGCUCACAACAAAAGUACUGAAAUCAUCAAUCUACUGGAGGGAGAAAAGGGAUUCCAGUUGAAGUGACACCAUUUUUCAACACUGAGGGUAAAGAGCAGUGCUGUUGUGAGACACAGAACGGGCUCUGUCACAACACGGUGUGUGGGUAUUCUGUCAAGUGAAAUUCAGUGGAAGAAAAUGCAAGAUAACAUGCUGUUCCUUCCUACAAAUGGAUUUUGAGUGAGCUGUAAUCCCGUGGGGGAAAAGAUCUUCAGCCUUUCACAGGGCUCUGGCAAUCUGAGCCUGGGAGGACAGGUGAGGUUAGAGAACAAGAAGGCACUCAUUGGACUUGGAAAGGCAACAUUUUCCAGUGGAGAAAAGGAAAAAAGUACUGCAUUCAACUCGGGGAGAUCAUUGCCACAG